AUACUUACAUGGACGGGGUCGACUCUUGAUCUUGAAGAUGAGUGCCCUAAGCUAGUGACUUCCAUUGCACAUUAAGAAAGGGUGUUUAGCUUAAGGUCUUCCCAAGUGGAAGAGCCUAUAGAUGCAAAGAUC
rnacentral:snRNA from 1 species